CCAAAUCAGUUAGAGCUGACGGGCAAGAUGGAAUCUGUUUGCCAUCCAAGUCUACAGGGACCUGCUUGACGUGUCAGGAAAAAAAUACCCCACAAGAGACACUAAAAUGGCACAGUAAUUGAAAAAAAUGUGCCAGAGUUCUGCUGGGGGAAUCUUUGCCCCGACUGUGUCUGCUCCAUCCUCCUCUGUGCAAGUCAGGGUUCAGGGGCUGUACUACUCUUCCAGGACUGCCAUAGCGAAGGACCCCAGAUGCGGUGGUUUACCAACAGAAAUGUACUUUUCAUUGUUCUGGAGCCUAGAAGCUCAAGAUCAAGAUGUCAUGUCAGCAGAGAUCAAGUUCUUGCUCCCUGGCUUGUACACAGCUGUCUUCCUGAGUCUUCUCGAGGUCUCCCCUCCAUGUGUAUCUGUGUCCUAUUCUCUUUCUAUAAGCACAUCAGUCGUGUUAGAUUAG
rnacentral:lncRNA from 1 species